CGAACGCUGGCGGCCUGCCUAACACAUGCAAGUCGACCGAGACCUUCGGGUCUAGUGGCGCACGGGUGCGUAACGCGUGGGAACCUGCCCUUAGGUUCGGAAUAACUCCCCGAAAGGGGUGCUAAUACCGGAUAAUGUCUUCGGACCAAAGAUUUAUCGCCUUUGGAUGGGCCCGCGUUGGAUUAGCUAGUUGGUAGGGUAAAAGCCUACCAAGGCGACGAUCCAUAGCUGGUCUGAGAGGAUGAUCAGCCACACUGGGACUGAGACACGGCCCAGACUCCUACGGGAGGCAGCAGUGGGGAAUAUUGGACAAUGGGCGAAAGCCUGAUCCAGCAAUGCCGCGUGAGUGAUGAAGGCCUUAGGGUUGUAAAGCUCUUUUACCCGGGAUGAUAAUGACAGUACCGGGAGAAUAAGCUCCGGCUAACUCCGUG
rnacentral:rRNA from 1 species